ACGAACGCUGGCGGCGUGCUUAACCCAUGCAAGUCGAACGGAAAGGCCCUGCUUUUGUGGGGUGCUCGAGUGGCGAACGGGUGAGUAACACGUUAGUAACCUGCCCUUGACUUUGGGAUAACUUCAGGAAACUGGGGCUAAUACCGGAUAGGAGCUCCUGCUGCAUGGUGGGGGUUGGAAAGUUUCGGCGGUUGGGGAUGGACUCGCGGCUUAUCAGCUUGUUGGUGGGGUAGUGGCUUACCAAGGCUUUGACGGGUAGCCGGCCUGAGAGGGUGACCGGCCACAUUGGGACUGAGAUACGGCCCAGACUCCUACGGGAGGCAGCAGUGGGGAAUAUUGCACAAUGGGCGGAGCCUGAUGAAGCAACGCCGCGUGCGGGAUGACGGCCUUCGGGUUGUAAACCGCUUUCGCCUGUGACGAAGCGUGAGUGACGGUAAUGGGUAAAGAAGCACCGGCUAACUACGUG
rnacentral:rRNA from 1 species